rnacentral:tRNA from 1 species
UUAUUACUUUGGCAGAUUAGUGUGGUAAAUUUAGAAUUUAUUUAUGUAAGUUUUUACAGGUAAUA